GGAGUGGGCCGGACGGCCGCUGCUGGCGGGCCACGAUGGCGCGCUGCCCUUCACCAGGGAUCGCCGCUCGUCGCGCUCCGCCGGGAGAGGAAAGUCCGGGCUCCCUAGGACAAGGUGGUCGGUAACACCGACCGGCCGCAAGGCCCGGGAAAGUGCAACAGAAAGCAAACCGCCGCGGCUGGCAGAGCCCCCGUCGUUUUUGCCGCCGCGGUAAGGGUGAAACGGUGCGGUAAGAGCGCACCAGCAGCCGGGGCGACCCGGCUGGCUUGGCAAACCCCACCUGGAGCAAGGCCAAGCAGAGCGUCCGCACGUCGGGCUCGCCGUUUCACGGCGGCGGGCAGACGCGCGCGGGCUGGUCCGGCCCGACACGGCGCUCGGGUAGGCUGCUUGAGGCGCCGGGCAACCGGCGUCCUAGAGAAAUGGCCGUCCGCGCUGCGCAGGCCGUUUGGACGCGCAGCGCGACAGAACCCGGCUUACAGGCCCGCUCCGAGG
rnacentral:RNase_P_RNA from 1 species